rnacentral:rRNA from 1 species
GACGAACGCUGGCGGCGUGCCUAAUACAUGCAAGUCGAACGCAGUGGGGACGGGUGAGUAACACGUGGGUAACCUCCCAUCAGAGGGGAUAACACUUGGAAACAGGUGCUAAACCGAUACUGAUGGAUGGACCCGCGGGGCAUUAGCUAGUUGGUGAGGUAACGGCUCACCAAGGCGACGAUGCAUAGCCGGCCUGAGAGGGUGACCGGCAACACUGGGACUGAGACACGGACCAGACUCCUACGGGAGGCAGCAGUGGGGAAUAUUCGACAAUGGACGAAAGUCUGACCGAGCCAUGCCGCGUGGGUGAAUAAGGUUUUCGGAUCGUAAAACUCUGUUGUUAGGGAAGCGGUAUCUAACCAGAAAGCAACGGCUAACUACGUGCCAGCAGCCGCGGUAAUAC